rnacentral:rRNA from 1 species
CACGUAGGGCGCGAGCGUUGUCCGGAAUUAUUGGGCGUAAAGAGCUCGUAGGCGGCCUGUUGCGUCCGCUGUGAAAGCCCGGGGCUUAACCCCGGGUCGGCAGUGGAUACGGGCAGGCUAGAGGUAGGUAGGGGAGAACGGAAUUCCUGGUGUAGCGGUGAAAUGCGCAGAUAUCAGGAGGAACACCGGUGGCGAAGGCGGUUCUCUGGGCAUGUCCUGACGCUGAGGAGCGAAAGUGUGGGGAGCGAACAGG